GCGGUAUCUUAAUCUCUGAUCUGGCCCUGAUGCUUCUCCCAUCGAUAAAGAGCCAAGCUACUCAUUCUUGCUUCUCUCUCAAAAAAGGUUACUCACUCUUCCGUCUGGUUCCCGGUAGUUUCUUCAUCUACACAAACCGUACAGCGGUGCUGCUGGUGGCCUUGGUGUUCUCUUUGUUGUCCAGGGCGGUGUCCUUUUUACUACUGCUCUGUUUCCAGGUGCGAUUUACCAGCUUCUUGCAUACGUUUCAGCGUUUCUUUUAAUUAGCACAAAUCUUCAUCAGCGGCUAUGAGCAAAAUUCUUAUGUAUGAUGAAAUAUCUAAUAUCAACUCACCAGGAUGUUAAUUCUAUGUAAUUAAGUACUUGAUCUAGUAUCAGAGAGGCGAAAAGGGAGCGGCCGGCUCGAUCCCCAAAUCCCGCCGGUGAGGGCGCGGAUCCCUGCCUCCUCCGCUCGCUUCGGCGGCGGGAGGAGGCGGGGAUCCCGUUUCCCUGCCUCCGGCGUGUAGAUAGGGUAGGUGUAGUCCCCGGCGGCGUCGAGUUGGUGGUUGGUUCGCCGUCGCUUGCGUUGAAUAAAUCCGCCGUCUUCCCUCCCCCUCCCCCUUGCCGGCGCUGGACGUGUCGGCAUGUAGGCGGCGUGCUUUUCUCGCCGUUCUGCGGAUCGGCUGGUGGCUGGGAUCCCUCCUUCGUUGGUGGCAUCAACGGAUCGGAGGGAUAUUUUGUUCCUCGUGGGUCUCCGGGCCGCACGAGUUCUUGCCUCCUCGGGCUGGACGGCGAUGCGACGUUGCCGUCUUCGCCAUGUGAGUACUCUCCUACCCCUCCUCUUCGUCGACGCGCCGGCGUCUUCCCCAUCGACGGCGCGGGGGUGGGGUGCUGCUGUGCUUGUAGGGGUGGAUCUCAGGUUUAUGGAGUGGAUUCGACAGCGAUGGCUGAUCUCCCGGGGUGCUGGUCCUUUGCGGCCGAAGAUUGGAGACUUCCCGUUCGUCACGGUCGUCUUAAAAAGGGUGCUUGCUCCGGCGAUGGAGCGGCGAGGACGACGGCGCGCCACCAACUCGUGGACUUCAGUUCUCGUUGUGUGGUCUGAGGACCUGUUUGUAAUUUUAUUUGCUUUCGGGGUCCUUUGUACUGCUCCAGAUUUUGCAAUAUAAGCCUGUGAUCUUUUUCGCAAAAAAAAAAGAAGUAUUUGAUCUAAACGCUUUUAUAUUUUUUAUGGAGGGGGUACCUUGUAUAUGACGAUAACUUGUUUUGUGCGUGUAGUUGCAAAAGCUCGACAGGACGAAUGGCAGAGAUCAGGAGCGGUAGCAUGGUGAACAAGAGAGACCUCGAAAGUGAUCAGCCCUGCAAGCUGUCGCACCAAUUUAUAAGACAUAUUACAAAGGAUUUCGACGAAACACUGGUAAUUGGAAGUGGUGCAUUCGGGACAGUUUACAAGGUAUGACUAUGAACACAACAUUUUUGCCUUAAAUGCGGAAACAAUAAUAGUACGGAAACACUAACGCCUACACGUGUGGGCGUUCUCUAACUCGCCCACACACUUAGAUCGUCGUUCAUUGUCUUUUGUACGAAUCUUGACAUGAAAAGGUAGAUUUCGUGUGCCACGUAGAACAGGGCUGGUGUGUGGCGUUGGAGAGUUUGCCUACACGCUCGCACCAUUGUGUUUGCCAGCUGCGCUGUGUGGGUGAACUAGUUUCUACCCACACAGACAGCCACCUACUUCGUGCGCGUGUGGGCAAACUGCUUUUCGCCCACACGACACUCCUAUGAUGUGGAUGGCAACUGCAGUUAGGCGAACGUGGCAACUAGGUAAACACGCAUGACAACUGUGAUAUUUUGUUAGAUGACUACUGCAGUUACGCGUACGUGGCAACCAGAUAAACACACAUGGCAACUGUGAUUAACAAUACAUGACAAUUAUGAUUGAACCACACGUGGCAACUAGGUAAACACACAUGGCAACUACUGUUUGACCAUAUGUGGCAAGUAGUUAAUCCAAAUGACAACUACAGUUUGAUUACACGCGGCAACUACCAUAAAUUAGACAUGUCAACUAUAAUUAACCAAAACAGAUAGAGUUGCCAUACUUUUACAACUACACUUGCCAUCCCGCAUAACUACAUCUGCCAACCAGAUUGACAACUAAAUCGUCAUCCCGCGGUGUUCCUAACGUAGCCGCGUCAGGAAAUGUGGGCAUUUUUGCUUCGUGCCACACAAACGGGGUGAAGAUGAGUAGUAUUUAUUGGUGUGUGGCACGAAGCAGCCGCGCCCACACGUGUGGACAAUUCUAAUGUUCGCCCACACACAACCCGUGUGGGCUGCCUCCUACUCACACCACACAUGAUGUGUGGACACAUGUCGAAUAUACCACACGUGUGGCAGUUAUCGGCGUCCUAAUAGUAUACGUUGUGUAGUUAUUAAGUGUGGACCGUGAGACAAAUUUUGGAUGAGCACCAGAGAAUAUUAGGGAGGUUAUUAGGCGAAGAAACAAACCAGAACGAAGCGGAUCCGACGCCGAGAAAGACGCUGGCCGCCGCUUAAUGAAGCCCAGCAACGCACUGGUCUUGCCGGAGCCUCCUCCCCACGAGACGACACCUCAAAACGCCAUAAAGAACGCAGGCAAACUACAAACUACAGCUAUGAAGAAGAAAGGGAUGGGUCCCUCGCUCUACUCGCCGCCGGCCGAGCCGGAUAGGAGAGGGGAGGGGCCAGGGGAGAGAGAUCGGCGGAGGGCUGGAAGGGGAGGAAACGAGGAGAGCAGGAAGAAGAUCGUACCGAUGAAGACGGAUGGCUUUUUUUCAACACACUACAAGACGGAUGGCUGAUUCGUCACUGCCUGCUAUGCGUUCUAUCGGGAGUUCUCAAAUCGGCUGAUUGUUGUGUCGUAGUUCUUUUUCUUUUAGUAUAUAAAAAUCCCUGCUACGUCUGGUUUUGCUCUCCGGUUGAUUCCCCACAAAAUCUUCUCCGGAGAGCGUUUUUGUGCUUCAUCUCCAUCCACGGUUCUGUCCAAGCGGGUGGGUGUAGAUGGAAUACGUGUUUCAUCUACCACGCAGCAGUCCCCGUGAUGCUCCCCGCGAGUGUCCCAGGCGCACCCCAAAUCAACGCCGCCGGCCACCUACUACCCCUCGCCGCCGCCGGAGGGCGCCUCCGGCAAAGCCCGCGCGGCAAUGGCAGUGGCGGGGCCCUCCUCCCUCUCGCAAGGCGCGCGUGCGGCGCGGGGGCGCUAGGCGGGAGGUGCAGCGGAUGACUGGAGCCUGGAGGUGGCCAUGGGCACGCGGGCGGGGGCGUGCUAAGGGGUUCGGCGCGGAUCUGGCGCUCCGGUAGGUGCGAUGGCAGGGGGUUGGCUGCUGCUCGGGCGGCAGCCCGAGGUGGCCCGGUGGAGCCGCUUCGUUGUGAAGGAGCAGGGGCGCGCCUGAGGCUGCUGGAUCUUCUGCAUUCUCUAGCGGGCGUGGUGCGCGUGCGAGCUUGGUCGCGGCCAGGAACCGAGGUGGUUCAUGGCCUCGGGCAGCAUAUCUCUUGUCCCGUCGGCGUGCUGCUCGGCAUGGACAGGAGAUUCGUGUUGCGUCCGGUGACUCAGCUUUCGGUCAAUGGUUGGCGGUUCAACGAUGGGCUUCUUCGACUAUGAGCUGGCUCGGUGGUAGUGCAAGGUGGGUGCCGUUGUGAGAUGAUAUGCAGAUGAGGUGGUGUCGGGAGCUUGGGUGAAAACCAUGUCUUGGUUGUGGCCGUGACCUUCUUGGAGGCAUCGCUCUACUACUGUCGCACCCCCCCAGGGCGGAUCACUGCAGCUCCGGGGAAACCCUUUGAUCUUGUUUGAUCAGACGAUGGCAUCGCCUUGGUGUCGUUCUCUCUCCUGGGGGCUUUGUCUUUGGAGUUGGAUGUUGGCGAGCGGGACCAGUGGAAGACGGUGGUGUUGGCGUCGAGACUUCUGUGGCAACGAUGAUGGGGCGAGUAGUGUCGGAGAUGUGGUUAUGGUUGAGGUAGUCGGCUCUUCUCCGACAUGUCCGCAGGAUUGCCUCGGCUAGUUUGUUACUGUGAAGUUCAAGCUGCAGUGGCGGGGCCCGUUGGUAUACGAUGACAAGCAGCAGGUGGUUCGUUCAAUGAUCUUCUGCGGCGCCAGCCGUGCCUAGUUCUCCUUCGUGGUCGGAGCUGCGAUGUAGGGUCGCAGGUGGUUGGGUUUGGCGCGGAUCUUCAUGCGUCUUCACAUGGCCUCUUCAGUGUGGGUUGGGUCGAUGAUCGCCUACGCUGAAGUCGAAGUCGUUUGCUCAGGGUUUAGGGAUAGCGAUGAUGCCUUUAGGGGAAGAAUGAUGACGAUGACAUCUGUGUGCUGACUCGUGAGACCCUCUCUAGAGUGGUGUGUGGGGAACCUUGUGUGCCGCUUUACGGUUGUGAUUGUUUUGCCCGGUUCCAGUGGCGAAGCCAGCUCGACCGGUUGAGCCGGGGCAAAGUCCAGGACGCUCCUGCUUGCCGGUUGUUUGCCCCUGCAAAAUGAUGCUUGGCUCUCCAUUAACUAGCAAAAUGAUGCUUGGCUCUCCAUUAACUACUAGUGGUCAAAGGAGAAUGCAUGGCACAGCCCGGUUCUCCAUAAUCAACUGAACAAUCUGGUUUUCACUCGGUUUUUUCUAAAUAACCGGCAACUCCUUUUUUUAAUGAAUGCAGGAUAACUGCCAUUUUGAAAAUAAAAGGAAUACAUGUUUCUCCUGCUACCUUUGGUAUUCCUUCAUCUUCUCGGUGAUGUUUUUCCUUUCAAUUGCUUGCACGCCGGAGACUUGGCUGCUUGCCCCUUUCAACCUGGAGGCCUGCCCAACGGUCUAUGGGGACACCGUUCUCUUAGGCCUAAUUUGGUUGCAAUGGGGAGGUAACCCAGGGCCCUAAUCUCCCACGGGGGCAUUUCCAUGGACGCCGGGGAUCCUCUCCUCCCACCACGGAGAUAUCAGCACGUCAGUUUGGACGGCAGGGGAGAGGGGAGAAGAUCACGUCCCCAAAAAAUGCUAGAAAAGUUUCAGGUUGAGGGAGUUGGUUGGAUGAUGACCUGGUCUGUCGCCUUCGCCGCCGCCGCCGGUGCCGGAGGAGCUGCGCGUGGAGGCGGUUGUUGAGCGAGGCCGUGGGGGUGUCGCUUUCCAAUCAUCGGACGAGGAAGCACGGAGGCUGGAGGCGGACGCCAUUGGCUCUCGGUCCCUCGGUUGCGAGGAGAGAGUCGCAAGCGAAGGAGACAAGGGUUUUCUCCCUGACUUGUCGACGCUGGGAGAUCAGACCCGGGGACGGGUCGUGGUAAGGCCAGGGAUCUUCUCCCCUCGCAUCCUACCAAAUGGGUCUGUUUACUUACCCGGGCCCAACUUACCCUGUGGUUUGCCCACCCGUGGAAAAGGCUGGGAUCCCCUCGGGAUCCUUUUGAACCAAAUGGGGCCUUAGAGCAUCUCCAACAGGCGCCCAAUGCGCGGCGCGCUAAAAUCUGGUUUGCGACGCGCGCAACGCCGGGUUUGGUGCGUCGCGCAACGCUUGCUCCUGCAGUAGCGCUAAAAUGCAGCGCGCGCGAGCAGCCGACGCACAUAUUUGUUCUUACUUUGGGAACAAAUUUCACACUUCAACACAAAACACAUGACAUAUAUUGAAUCACAAACAUCAUUCCAACCAAGUUCGUGCCCAAAAGUUCAUGCACACAAGUUCAAAUUCAUGCCCACAACAUAAUAAUUAAACCAAGUUCAACAUGCAAACCAAGUUUAUGAUGACACAAACGAAAGACACAAGAAUCAAGCCUCUCCUCGUCUUCAUCUUCAUCUCUUCCUCCGAAGACGAUUCUUCCUCCUCCUCUUCAUUGUUGCACGUCGUAUCAUCAUCACGUGAAGCUCAGAAGGUGUUGUCAAGAUCUUGAAUGGCAUCUUCAUGCGAAGGUGGCAAACCGGCGUCCGGAGGGGCACCCAUGCCCCCAAUGAGAGACGCAAAACUCAUGCCACCCAUGCCACCCAUGCUUUCCAAGCCGCCCGGAGGUGCUCCAAAGCCACCCAUGCCUCUCAUUGUCUCCAUGGUAGCUCCAAAGCCACCCAUGAAACCCAUGCCGCCCAAGAUAGCUCCAAAGCCACCCACGGAACCCAUGCCGCCAAAGCCAUCGGCAUCCAUGCCGCCACCGCCACCAAUACCGCCAAGGCCACCGCCACCCAUGCGCCAAUCAUGGUUCUUUUUUGGAUCAAGACUUCUUCACGGGCAAGGUUGACAUACUUCUUUUGCGCAUCAUUGCACAAAGAUGUGUCCAAGAAGAACAAGUGCUUCUCUCAUUCCAACAACUUAGCUCGCUCCUCCAUCGCCAUCUUCCUCUCCUCCAAUGCCACUUUCCUCUCCUCGGCCGCCAACCUCCUCUCCUCGGCCGCGGCAUCUUGGUUCCUUGUCAUUUUCCUCACCUUGUUGGCUUCUCUUCUUGCGUUGACAAUUGCUUCUAUAGCAUUUUUUUAUCUCAUCAUCUCCUUUCCUCUUCUUCUUUUCUUUGUCCUUCUUCGUGCCAUCCGGUCGUUUUGGCUUCGAGUAUGAAACCGAGUUUGGGGUGGGGCUUCUCUUGCCAUCUUCACUUGAUGCAUCAUCCUCAUCAUCAUCUUCCAAAUUAAUUGUUUGCUUGUGUUUUUUUGCUCAAAUCCAAAUCAUCAAUAUCCUCACGCUUCUUCCAUUUCUCAUCAUCCUUCAAUACUUCAUAGCAAUGAGGCAAGGAAAAUGGCCUUCCUUUCUUGAUCUUCCCCUUCUUGGUCCUCUUCUCCUCUCCUUUGAACAAGUUUUUUGCAAUGUUUAACUACAUGAAAACAAAACAAGUUAGCACAAGAAACACCAACAACAAGCAUGAUGUGAACAUGAGGAAUGAUAAAACCACACUUACCCUAUCAUCAUCAUUGGUGCCACUUGGGUUCAACUUGUCAACCGCUUUUUGUGCGGCCAACCAUUGUUGACAAUCCCUAUUGAUGGUCGACCAAGGUGAUUGUGCGGAGCGGUCAAUUCCACUCAUGUUGCAAAGAUCAAAGUGUUCUUUCAUCCGGAGCCAAUAAGCAUCUCUACUUUGAUCACCUCCAAUGGAUGGAUCCCUCGACACUUGCAACCAAGUAUUGCAUAGUAAGAUGUCUUCGGCAUUGGUGUUUGCCCGCUCUUCCUUUCAGUGCGUCGACAAUGCCCUCACCAUCCUCGUCCACCUCGAAUUCAUGGUCUUCAAAAUGCAUGUCAUUGGUUUGAGACCAAUGCGAAUUGUUCGAGCCAACACCCAUAGUUGACAUGUAUGCAUCAUCGUUCACACUACAAAGUAUAUAGAACAAUGCAAUAAGCUAUCUAUAUGUAUGCAUUCAAAAAAUAAAGAAGGAAAAGGAGUUCGGGAUUUUUUUACCUUUGGGGCAUAUCGUCGAACACAUGGUGCGCGUCGGUCGCCGGCUCAACAAGUGCGAUCGCCAGCGCUUCGGUAGCCGCCGCGCUCGUCACACGCCCUGCAAGCUUCUUCCUCGGCGCCUUCGAGGUGCCGGAGCCGUCCGUCGUCUUCUUCUUCUUCGCGGAUGUCUUGCCCUUCUUCGGCCGCGGCGCAUUUGGGAACUUCGAGGUGCCGGAGUCGUCCGUCGCCUUGUUCUUCAUCACGGCGGGCGCCGGCACGACGCCACCAGCCGCCGAGGUCAUUCGCAGCGGCAUGAAGAGGGGGCGCGCGAGGCCGAUGCUCGAAGGAGCUCCUGCGAAGGUGUGGCCGACGCUCCCAGCGCUAGGGUUUGCGGCGGCGGUGGCGGCGGCGCUGGAGGGUUCGCGGCUGUAGGAUGGGGUGAGGGGAGUGCCGGCGCGUGGGUCCAUUGGGUCAGCUCGCCGGCGCCGGUGUGUGCGGCGUGAAGGUGGCGCGGGGGAGAGAGUGCGGCGCGAGCGCUUUUGUGUGCCGCGCGCGGAAGCCAGCUCCCCAAAUACGCAGCGCACGAUAGCGAUUCGGACCGCGCGCCCAACUCUAUAUGCCGCGCGCGCGAUUAUUGCACGCCCGCUAGAGACACACUAGCGAUUACGCGCGCGCUAAAAUGGAUUGCGAUGCGAUGCUUGUUUUGCGCGCCUGUUGGAGAUGCUCUUAGUGAGGCUGGUGCCGUUGCUUGGACAACUUCUGGUGACAUCAGCUCCGAUCAGAGACAUCAUUCCGCUGCCGGAUAUAAGGCUGCUCUGUGUAUUAUGGAUUCGCUGAAGCGGUUCCUGGUUCCUUAACGUCGUCGAAGCAUGUACUCCUUCUGUUCCUUAAUAUAAGUCGUUUUAGACAUUUCAAAUGGACUACAACAUACGGAUGUAUAUAGACAUAUUUUAGAGUGUAGAUUCAUCUAUUUUGCUUCUUAUAUAGUCAUUUGUUGAAAUCUCUAAAAAACUUAUAUUUAGGAACGGAGGGAGUACAUCAGCAUUAUCCAUGCCAUCGGCGAUAUUUCUUCUCCAGUCUCGAUGGCGGUAGCGGUGCUGGAUCAGUAGGCAGCCUCUUAGUCUCUUUCUUCGGCUUCAACCUUGCCGAGGCCGUUGUUACAUAGGACGCGAGCCGGGAGAGACUGUUAGGGACUUCGCAAAUCCGGUCUCCCACCUACCCACGAAACGCGACCGGACGCGUCCGUGGACACUAAUCAAGCAGACCUCAUAUUUAAUGUUAUGCAUUUGAGUAUCUCAUAUUUCAUCUUUUAUUAAAUCUAUACUCUUUUUGAAAAGAGGGGACAUCCCUCGGCCUCUGCAUCGAGUGAUACACACAAUCAUUUAUUUAUCAUAUGAAAGUUCAUCAUCCGACCAUAACAAAGUUCAACCAAUAAAUUGUCCCACAUGACUGCCCCAAGGGCAAAUUGAAAAAUAAAGAAUCAUAGGAAAAUGAGCUUCAUGCAUCACAAAUCCUACUAGUAGGCCGCCAACCAAAUUGGUUGAACAAACCCCAAAAGACCAUCUUCUAUUGGUUGCACCCAAAGACCGUGGGCGCCCGAUCCUCCUUGCGUAGUAAUGACCAUGUAUCAUGUAAAUCAUGUAAAAGAAAUUCAUAUGUACUAUGCAUCACGCUAGCCUACAUACGUUUCAUCAUCGAAGAUGUCCACGACAUCAUUGCUGGGCGCCGGGUAGAUGGGCGUGUAGGAGGGCUCCGGCUCCUCAUCCAUAUACGCGAGCAUCUCGUCGACGUCCGCGGCAUGCUCCUCCUCCGCCUCCUGUAGACGACGACGCUUGGCCUCCGCCGCCGAUUUUGACCGGAGAAAAACAAGGAUCGCCUGCUGCUCCGCCUGUAGAUGCGCGUCCCCAGCGUCCCACAUGACCUCCUCGUCCUCCUGCCGCUCUGCGUCCUCAUGAUCCUCCUCCACCUCCACCACCUCCUCCUCCUUCAAGUCCUCUGGAUCCACCGUGUCUGGAGGUAGCCCCGCGGCAAUCUGGGCUUCGUGCCUUGCUCGGAUCUGCUCAAGGAGUUGCAGCCGGUGCUCCGACGUUAGAUAUGGGUAGCUCUUUACCGGCGGCGUGGGGGUAUGGCUAUUAGUGGUGGUGGACGACGAGUGGAAAGUGGCAGCGGCGGCGGCGGCCGGAAGGAGGGAAAUGUGGAUGGGUAGGGUUUUGGUGCCGGCGGCCGGCUUAAAUAGCCAGGCUAGGGCACUAUGCGACACGCCGAAGCGGCGCUGCGCGGUGACGAAAGAGACAGGCUUCGGACCGUCGGGUUUUGGAGUGUGCUCCUGAGGGACCCGGCCAUCAGUCUGACGUGGCUCUCUUCAUAUAUGCCUUAUAUUUGGGCUGGAUAUGAGAGGGUGCCGGUCAGUCCGGGCAUUUGAAUAUGUUUGAAGCACCCGUCUGGGUCGGUUUUUUAACCGGUUAAUGAUCAGUCGUCCGCCCCAACAUAUAAGGAUGGUUUAGGGUGCCCCUGCUCUCAGUGUGCGCUGCAAGUCAUUGGUGGCAGCCGAAGCGGCAUAUUGUCUUCGAUAAGUCUUCUCAUGUCAUCUAUGCCCACAUGGAAGCCGUUCUAGCUACAUAAUUCAUCACACAACACACCGGAGUUCAUCGACGACAACGACAUUCGUAGUGUAGUUAUGGUUGAGCUAGCCGUGCGAAGUAUGUCGUGGUCGAUGUCGAGUCGGGGUAGACGGUGUUGAGGAAGUCACCAUGGAGCCGUGGGCGCAAGGAGGCGUCGAGUUGGUCAUGGGCACAAUGGUGUCGAAGUAGUGAAGGGAAUCAUCGUAGCAAUUUCCAAAGGUGGAAGUGAUAAGUAUGGAGUGUCAAACCCACAAGGAGCUAAAGGUAAGAUCAAUAUUCGCUCAAGCCCUAUCUGCCACUGAUACGACUCUACGUACACCGAACGUUUGCUUCCAACUAGAAACGAGAAAUAAAACUACAUUGUGGGUAUGAAGAGGAUAACUUUGCAUGAUAUCGGACAGCUAAAAUAUAAAAGUAGAUGUUGUUAUCAUAAAGUUGGAAUAUAUUAUUAAAUAUUAUAAAUAGCGAGUGUGCAAUAAUAAUGGAUGAGUGUGCGAUAUUAUCCUAGGCAAUUGUUAAUAAGACCGGUAGUCGUCAUUGCAAUUUCAUAUGAGGAGAGGCAUAAGCUAACCUACUUUCUCUUCUUGGAUCAUAUGCACUUACGAUUGAAACUCUAGCAAGCAUCUGCAACUACUAAAGAUCAUUAAGGUAAAACCCAACCAUAACAUUAAAGCAUCAAGUCCCCUUUGUUCUAUACGCAACAACCUCCUUACUCGGGUUUAUGCUUCUGUCACUCAAGCAACAGACUAUAAGCGAAUUAUAAACUUAUUGCAACAUCCUACAGCGGGAAUCCCUCACGCUUGCGCGACACGGAGGGCACAAUAAAAUAGCACCAAAAUAAAACAUACAACUCAUACCAAUCUAUAUCUUCAAUCAACCCAAAGACAAAGGAUAUCUACUCAAAAUAUCAAAGGAUGGCAACACAUCAUUGGAUCAUAAUAUAUGGCAUAAAGCACCAUGUUCAAGUAGGGAUUACAGCGAGGUGCGGGAUAGUGAACCGCGUAAAAAAGAUGAGGGUGGUGAUGAUAAUGGUGAUGUUGAUGAAGACAAUCACCGCGGCGAUGAUUACCCUCCCGAUGGCACUCCGAUGCCAUCGAGGGAGAGAAGGAGAGGUUCCCUCUCUGGUCCUUGGCCUUCAUGGUGAUGAUGGCCCCUUCGAGAUCCUCUCCCAUGGCCUCCGGUGAUGAUGGCCCCCUCUGGCAGGGUGCCAGAGAGGGCCUAGAUUGAUUUCUCGUGGCUAUAGAGGCUUACGGCGGCGGAACUCCCGGUCUAGGUUUCUUUUGGGGGGUUUCUAUAUUUAUAAGAAUUUUUAACGUCGGUUUCACGUCAGGGGGGUCUCCGAGUCGUCAACGAGAUAGGGGGGAGCGCCCAGGGGGUAGGGUGCACCCUCCACCCUCGUGGAUGGCUCGGGACUCUUCUGGUCCAUCUCCGAUGCUCCGUGGGCUUAUUCUGGUUCAUAAAAGAUCGUCAAAAAUUGGCACGUCAGUUGGACUCCGUUUGGUAUUUCUUUUCUGUAAAACUCAAAACAAGGAAAAAACCCGAAAUUGGCACUGGCCUCUAGGUUAAUAGGUUAGUCCCAAAAAUCAUAUAAAAUAGUAUAUAAAUGCAUAUAAAACAUCUAAGAUGGAUAAUAUAAUAGCAUGUAUACUUCAUAAAUUAUAGAUACGUUGGAGACGUAUCAGCAUCCCCAAACUUAAUUCCUGCUCGUCCUCGAGUAGUUAAAUGAUAAAAGAAAUAAUUUAUGAAGUGUGAAUGCUAGCAGGUGCACAAGUUUGAUCAAUGAUAAUUUCAAUCAAAUUUUCUAGCAUCAUUAUAUAACAUAGCAGUAGCUCAACUCAUAAAACUUCUCAUGAUCAAGUAACAAGCUAUUCACACAUUAAAGUAUAGAUCAUAAACAUUCUUGAAACUAACAAACCAUACUCUUAGUCAAACAACUGCAAUUCAUCUUAUUUUCGGGAAGGGUCUAUGUAAGAGCUUUGAUUCAGCAAACUCCACGUAUAUUUAGUCAUUCACAAUUGCUAAUAUUCAUGUGAUAUUUAGGGUUUAAAGUUUUAAUCGGACAUAGAGAAAAAUAGGGGCUUAUAGUUUCGCCUCCCAGCCUUUUACCUCAAGGGUAAUGUCAACCACAAUAAUUUAUGAAAACCUAUAUCCAAGUGGGUAUAUAUAUUCGGAUCGCUCCAACACAAAAUGUUUGCCAAAAGAAAAAGUGUAAAAAAAGGAAAGGUGAUGAUCAUCAUGACUCUUGUAUAAGGGUAGAAGAUAAAAGUAAAUGAUAGGCACUUCGUAGAGGGAAGCAGGGGUUGUCAUGCGCUUUUAUGGUUGGACACACAAAAUCUUAAUGCAAAAGAACGUCACUUCAUAUUGCCGCUUGUGAUAAAUACCUUUAUUAUGCAGUCCGUCACUUUUAUUUCUUCUCUAUCACAAGUUUAUAUAAAGCUUAUUUUCUUCUUCGCACUAAUAGAUCAUACAUAUUUAAGAAGCAAGUUUUAUUGCAUGCACGAUGACAACUUACUUGAAGAUCUUACUCAAUUCAUAGGUCGGUAUGGUGGACUCUCAUGGCAAAACUGGUUUAAGAGAUUUUGAAAGCACAAGUAGUAUGUCUAUUUGGUGCAAAGAAUUUGGCUAGCAUGAGAGGGAAAGGCAAGCUCAACAUGUUGAAUCCAAGACAAUAUAACGUUUAGGAUAUAGGAAAACAUAAUCCAUUAAGUUGCCUUCCUUGUACAACAUUAACCCUUUAGCAUGUCAUAUUUUAAUGAGUGCUCGCAAUUACAAAAAAUGUUCAAGAUAGUAUAUUUAUAUGUGAAAUCUCUCUUCCUUUAAUAUUUUUUCAUGAAUUGUUCAAGUGAUCAAUGUUGUGUUUGCUAAGUUUCAAUAAGUUUACUACCUAUAUUUAUUAUGUGUGAA
rnacentral:lncRNA from 1 species